GUCAGAUGAAUGCACAUUGCCGUAUAAACAAACAGGUGAACAUGGCUUUGAACAAGAAGGGGAAAGGAUGGAGGAGGAUGGAGCAGGAACCUGCACAGACCCAAUUAGAGGCGGCGGCCCCUGUCCACAAAGAAUCUCACAUGGCUGAUGACGGGAUGCUGACACUGUCAUACAAUUCCUCAUGAGAGAAAACAGGCAAUGAGCUCUGCACCAUGGAUAAAACAUGCUCCAACUGCUGCACAUGGGACACUGCUCUCAUUGUUGCCCCGUCAUCCCAGCGACGAUGAGCAUGAAGCACAGCAGACACCUCCUACCAGCGGCAUUCACCACACCCCCACAGACCUCAGUGGAACUCAGGGCAGAUGACGGUAAACCUCUCCCCCUCACAUCAGGCUGCUCACAGGAAAGACGGAACAUGUCCUGCACCCCAGACACCUGCACACCUCUUGCCUCUUCCAGCAGUACACAGUAGCGUGUUCUUGUCAGUCUGUACAUGAUCCUGGGCUUAACAAAAGGCUCUCUAUUCAAUGCAUCAGCCACAGUGUUCUUGGGUCCUGGAAUGUACUGAAUUUCAAAAUCAAAAGGGGCUAAUUUCGCUAUCCACCUCUGUUCGCAAGCAUCCAAUUUUGGUUUGGUCAGGAUAUACUUAAGCAGAUUUUUGUCAGUCCACACCGUAAACUCAUGCCCUCGCAGCCAAUGACUGAAGUUAUCAUGAAUGACCCAUUUCAUUACGAGGAACUCAAGCCUGUGAGCCAGAUAUUUAAAUUGAGCAUGGUUCAGAGAUUUACUUGCAAAAGCAAUGGGUCUAGCAGUGGAAUGGCCAUCCUGCACCUGAGAAAGUACCGCCCCUAAUCCACUGAUAGAUGCAUCAACGGAAAGAGUGAAAGGCUCAGAAAAGUCAGGGUGAGCCAGCAGUCUUCAGUGCCUCAAAAGCUUGCUUACACUCAGCAGUCCAGUCUGCAGAGGUAAGCUUGCGUGAUGGAGAAGGUCUCUUUUUGCUUUCAGUUCCCUGUGGUUUCCUCCCACCAGUGGUAAGCUGAAAAAGUGGUUUGGCUAUCAUAGAGCAAUUCUCAAUAAAAUGUUGGUAAUACACUACCAUGUCAAGGAAUGAACGUAUCUUCUAAGCAGAUGGGGUAACAUUGUCAGACCCCACAAUGUCACAGCGACUCAGCUACGUUGCUAAUAGCUAGCACCUUAUCAGGGUCUGUAGCUAUGCCCUCUUGGGAAAUAAUGUGACCUAAAAACUUAACAGAUUUCCUCAAAAAUGUACAUUUAGAUGGAGACACCUUCAGGUUAUGUGCUUGGAGACGCUGGAAAACCAUUUCAAGCCUCCUCCAUUUUUCCAAAAACCAGUAAAUCGUCCAAAUAAUGAAGUAAUAAAGUAAUGACUGAAAAUUCUGAUUACCAAAAAUAGUGAGCAUCAUCCUCAUGAAAGUAGCUGGCCUGUUGCAAAGUCCCUGAGGCAUGUGAUUAUAUUCAUGUAGACCCAGGCGUGAGGAGAAAGUGGUGUAUUUCUUAUCAUCUUCAUGCAAUGGUACUGUUACGUCCUAGGACGUAUUCGUGUGUGUGUCUCUCUCUCUCUCUCUCCCCCUCUUGCUCCCCGUCCAGGUUACAGCUUGAUCGGCAGAGCGCGGCGAUUGGCUGGAAGACGGGCGGGGAAAUUUGAAAAGCGGCAUCUGGGCAGGACCAGGACCCCCUCCUCCCCCGUGUAGCUCACUGUUAGAGAAUGUGUGCGGGAGUGUGAAUGCAGGCGUGUAAAUAUUGUAAAGUUUAUGUAUGUUACCUUAUUCUCUGUGUCAGCCUGAACGUUCGUAGGGGGUGAGUGCCAUUUUUUUUGACUGUCUUCUCCUGUUUUUCGUUAGUUAGGGAAGUUGUUUUGUAUUUCGUUUUGUUGAUUUCUUUUUGGUUGGUUAGCUAGCUUCCCUAUUCCCCAGUUAGUUGUGUUUUGGUUAUUUUGGCCUGGCUCACCCCUGAAGUAUUUUUCGUUCAGGAACAAAAAAAUAAAUUAAAA